CCUGGUACCCAGACCACUUCAUUGAGCUGAUGUGAUCUGGGUGUCUGUAGUGGUCCUUUAAGUGUGUGUGCAUAGCGGGGUCGCAGCCCUGCGACCAGGUGCCCGCCGCCAUGUGUUGUGGCCCCGACCCGCACCGAGUAAGCGCGGGGGGGGGGACCCACGGAUCAAUUUUCGCACCAGGGCCCCAUGGGUCAUGUGUAUGCCACUGACAGGGGGUGUUGAUUUGGCUGUUCAGCUGAUGUAGCCAUGUCUUAUGUUACGAAAAUCAAAAGCCUCGUAUAAAAAGGUGGCUAUCUAUCUGAUGCAAGUAGCAACCCACAAUUAAUUUUUCAUUUUUAAAAUAACGAAUCCUGGAAAAACAGCCUUUCACCAAUUUCAGCACAAGCUGAUUUCCACAAUAAUUUAUGGAGAUGGUCAAAUUCCAACAACAGUGCCAGAGGAGUCCAGAAUUGGUGCUGCACAUUUUAUUUUUAAGAUAC